AGUGAACGCUGGCGGUAGGCCUAACACAUGCAAGUCGAACGGCAGCACAGUAAGAGCUUGCUCUUACGGGUGGCGAGUGGCGGACGGGUGAGGAAUACAUCGGAAUCUACUUUUUCGUGGGGGAUAACGUAGGGAAACUUACGCUAAUACCGCAUACGACCUACGGGUGAAAGCAGGGGAUCUUCGGACCUUGCGCGAUUGAAUGAGCCGAUGUCGGAUUAGCUAGUUGGCGGGGUAAAGGCCCACCAAGGCGACGAUCCGUAGCUGGUCUGAGAGGAUGAUCAGCCACACUGGAACUUAGACACGGUCCAGACUCCUACGGGAGGCAGCAGUGGGGAAUAUUGGACAAUGGGCGCAAGCCUGAUCCAGCCAUACCGCGUGGGUGAAGAAGGCCUUCGGGUUGUAAAGCCCUUUUGUUGGGAAAGAAAAGCAGCAGGUUAAUAACCCGCUGUUCUGACGGUACCCAAAGAAUAAGCACCGGCUAACUUCGUG
rnacentral:rRNA from 1 species